ACGUUCUAGAUACACUUUCCAGUACAUCUACUAUGUUACGACUUAUCUCACCUUAAAUAAUGAGAGCGACGGGCGAUGUGUACAUGUUUUAGAGCUACAAUCACAUUAUCAUAAUAUAACAACAUUACUUUCAAAUCCACCUUCAAUUUUUCUAAUUUCAAAAAAAUAUCCGUUUAAAUAUUCAUUUUAUUGUAAUCCAUCUCCUACUUAAUCAUAAACUGCACCUUGACCUGACAUAAAUUUUAUUCUAAAAACUAGAAAAUUAUUUCUCUUAAAAGAUAAUCUUACGACGGCGGUAUACAAGCUGACAUUUACAAAACUAAAUUUAUUAUAAUGUGUAUUAUCAAUUACAGGACAGAUUCCUCUGAAAAGACUAAAACACCGCCAAAUUCUUUAAGUUUCAAGAACUUAACUAUUACUACUCAAGUAUCCUCAUUUACAUUUAAAAAUAAUAGGGUAUCUAAUCCUAGUUUAAAUUUUAAAUUUCAAAGCUUCAUUAUAUUAAUAAAAUAUAUUCAAUUUUCAAAUUCUACCUUCUAAAAUCAAUUAAAAUUUUCUUUUUAACAAAUUAACUCCAACACUAAUAAUAUUUAUUCAAGUCCUACGUAUAACCGCGACUGCUGGCACGACUUUUGUCGACCAUAUAUCAAAUUACUAAUUCUAAAUUUCCUUAAUUACUAAAACUAAAUACUGCGAAUAAACUAUAAUCAUUUAGAUUCCAUUAUAACACACAAAAUUUACAUGUAAAAUAUUCAAAUAAUAAAUUCUUAAGUAAGAAUAAAACUUU
rnacentral:rRNA from 1 species